UGGGGAAGUCAAUUUUCGGCAAUUGGAUUUAUACAUCGCUAGAGUUAAAAGGCUGUAAUGAUUCAAGUUAACCCGCCAUCAUAAAUCAGAAACCCCUUAGACUCCACAGUAUUUGGUAGAUCGAUCACUUUGAGCACUUAGGUACAAACAAGCAACAUCUAUAUACGUAGAUAUCAAAAGAACCGACGAAACAGCCUUGCAGAUGAAUCGCGAACCCCAGAAGGUAGCAUCCUCACCGGAUGAGAAGACUCCUCUCUACUUUUUUCUAUAAUGGAGAACAUUUGAUCAUAAACCCAACAAACGAACGGAUUGAGAGAAUCUCAUGAUAAUGCGCUGAUGAUAAUGGUUCACGUUCAUCAACUACAUGGUCUAGAUGCUGCAGUUGGGUUUAAACAUCAAGUUGUGAGCAAGAGCAACUCAGAUAGGUUAUAUAUGGCACGGAGCGAAGGCGAGCUGUUAGGAAUGUUACCUAGGCAUGCUGUAUAUGUGAAUUGUGCGAGACGGAAUUCGAGGAACCUGCAGAUGUUGGAAUUUGCAAGUGAUGACAGUAGCAUUCCAGUUAGACGUUCAAACUGUGUUAACUUGAAGAGCAAAGAAACGCAUGAAAUUGGGGUUGUCUGUCGUAGCCCGUAGCAAUGAACGAAACCAAUGUUCGGUAGCAAAUAGAAUGAAAUGAAACGUCAUAAUCCCAGCUCAGGAAGGACCUUCAUAUGUUACUAAAGUAGGCUUUGAAUUGAUACAAACAAUUCCACUUUUGCUGCGUAUCAAAGAGAUGGCUAACAGAUAAAACACUAGGAAUAUUGCAUAAGAUAACAGCUCUGUUUUCAGCACAACUGAAGUACAAUAGUUGGAGAUUGUUUGGUGACCCUGAGUAACAUAAUAACUAUAGGGGCCAAUCAUUAGCUACGCCAUUCUUUGGGAAAUUUGGAGUGAGCGCAAAUGCUAGGGCCUUCGGUGGUCGCGCUAAGGAAGAGAAUGGAGUGAUUUUUCUUGUAAAACAAACUGUAAUUCUCUGGAGAGAGGAGGAUACAUUAAAAAAUUUAGAUGUAAACCAAAUUCUUUUCAAGU